UAUUAAUAUCUUUUUAAUCAAUUUAAACAUUUUUAGUUCAUAAUGUAUCAAUAACAAUAUCAGAUAUUUAAUUUUGGCUCAUUGCAGAACAAAGGUUGCUCGUUACUGUCCAUACAAUAUAAGAAAAUCUCAAGCAAUACCCAAGAGAAAGACUACUGUGUACUUUGUGUAUGUGUGUGUGGGUGUGUAUAUUAUGUAUCUAGUUACGUACAUAUGUACAUAUACACAUAUGUAUCUAUUUACAAAUGUAUGUUUGUAUGGGAUCUUCCAACAUUCCACCUCGGUGGUUGCCGAAAGACUGAUCUCAUACGAUAUUCGACAGAAAGUAAAUAACAUAAGUUGUAUUUAGAUAUUUCAGCUUAUAUAGAAACAUAUAAACAUUGUAAUAAGAUUUGCUUUGUAUACGUCAGCUAGUAAAUGGUAUAAACAUU